CACUGAACGUCUAAUGAUACACGAACUGGUUGAGUCACACAAUUAUAUACGCCAUAUGAUAAAAACAAUGAGUCAUAUGAGCGAAGCUAUCGAUAAAACGGGCCGAAUCCGAACGUGUCAACUUUUAGCCACACAACUAGUACGUCUAUACGCAAUCACUUUACGGCGCAGUUUAUUAUCGAGCGAGGUGCGAGCACGGCUCGGACAGCGCGGAGGCAUACAUUCGCGACUGGCGAACGGAUUCCAUAAUGAGAUGCUGCGUGGUAAACUGGGACAUCUAAUUAUACUCGAGGGCCCGCCACUCGCGCAACCAACGUUGAGCCGUCCCUGGAGCGAUCCUACUCUCUCCUAGAGACGUGGUGAAGCAUCCCUGUCGCUUUUUAAGGAUCCCUACCAAGUUAUAGUGUGCGCUUUCGCACUGCGAAGAAAGAACGACGAGAAAGAAUUGCGUGCGUAUGUGUUGGGAUAAAUAGGGAACAGUGCCGUCAGAACGAACCGAGUAUUUCUAUGCCAGAAUACUCUGGCAGACCCAAAACUCGCCGCUACUACUCGGGCGCACAGGUUUUAAGGGGAUAUUACAACUCCAGAUAGCUCAUAAACGGCCACAUGUGCUCGGGCGUAUGUUACGCUUUUCCAGUCCCGCUACUAUAUUACGUACCGGUAAUAAUCGAGCUGUUCUAACGUGGAACGUAUUACAGCCCGGACGCAACAUAUUGCUAGCGUUUUAUACCGAUAAUACACGACCAUUCGUUGAUAACGCAAGAAUCGCAGCGAUUCCGAGCUUUUACUUCUAUUUAAAUAGCACGUUUAACGAGUCAUGCGAUAAAAUCAGAUUACACGAAAUCUAUAUUGCUCAAUUAAAGAGAGGAGUUUACUUAUCGUAAAGAUAAGAAGUCCCCGAGAAUAAUUUAACGACAAUUAAAUAAGUGGAAGACCAAAUGAUCAUUACGUAAGAUAUCUUAAGGGAAAAUUUAAUCAACCCAACUUAAGACAUUAACAGAACGCCAUUUAACUCUCGCGUAAUGUUCUUACUGUUGCUUGUUGUUCUUUCGCUUCAUGGUAAAUUAAUUUUCGAUUUAAACAAGUGUUCGAAUAAAUUCUCGUUCGAUAAUUCUGAACAAUUCCGCUCCCAAAACAGCAGCUUAAGCAGUAGCUCCCCAAGAGAGAUCUAAAGGUACAUUAGCGAGUUGUCCGUGUAAAUGAUGUAUAUUUGUUUUGUUAAUCUCACGCUACACACAUAGCUUUAUCGGGAACAUUUACAGUACAAAUGAAUGAACAUUCUAUGCUUUUUGCUUCGAAAUUAUAGUUUAAACUCCUUGAUUAUUUUCUAUUUAAAAUUUAUCAUAACCUCGACAUUUUCACAUUCUGAUUUUCGUUGGAAUUGGGUUAUCUAAAUGUCCCCAAGAAUUCGUCGUUAAAAGGACAUUCGAUGGUUUUGCAGUAUUCUGCAUAAGAACGACAUUUAAGCUGGAUAUUACGCGGAAAUAAUUUGGCUGCGACAAAACGAUUUGGCUUGCGUUCGUGCUGCAAUUUUUGGGGGGAAUGGGAUUAAACGAAACGGGAGAGACAAAAGCCUUUCAACUGGUCGUCAGCAGUUCAAAGUGGCGUAAGAUUAUUUAUGGCUGCUUUUACGACCGCUUAUAAAAUCAUUUCUCCUUCGCUCUCUCUUCAAAUAAAUUGAAUGCAGAGACGUCAAUUUCAUAUAAUUCGUAAAGUUAUGAAUACUACAUUAUUUUCUGAAAAUAAUGGCAAAUGCGUGUUGCAGUCCGUUCAAUUAUAUCUACAUAAGGAUCAAGUAUCACAAGACUUUUACGUUUGUAUACCGUUAGAAUUGUGAAAUUUAUUGCACUCGACGUGUUUGCGCAAAAGUAUUCGAAAACCUGUACUUGAUUUGAAUCCGUCUACGUAGCGCAGAAAAUGUUACCGCCAAGGUAAUAUCAUACAUUAUUCAGUUUUGUUUAAUAAACCACAGUCGUAGGUUCCUGAAUAAAGCACAGUCUUAGGAUAAA